rnacentral:rRNA from 1 species
AGUGGGGAAUAUUGCGCAAUGGGCGAAAGCCUGACGCAGCGACGCCGCGUGCGGGAUGACGGCCUUCGGGUUGUAAACCGCUGUCGGGGGGGACGAAGCUCUGACGGUACCCCCAAAGGAAGCACCGGCUAACUCUGUGCCAGCAGCCGCGGUAAUACAGAGGGUGCGAGCGUUGUCCGGAAUUACUGGGCGUAAAGGGCGCGUAGGCGGCCCGAUAAGUAGGGGGUGAAAUUCCGCGGCUCAACCGCGGGACGGCCUUCUAGACUGUCGGGCUUGAGCACGGUAGAGGCAGAUGGAAUUCCCGGUGUAGCGGUGGAAUGCGUAGAGAUCGGGAAGAACACCAGUGGCGAAGGCGGUCUGCUGGGCCGUUGCUGACGCUGAGGCGCGACAGCGUGGGGAGCAAA